CUGCAGCGCUGCUCCAGCCUCUCAUUCCCCAGUCUGUAUGUACAUCCCAAGUGCCAAAUCUGGCGCUUUCCCUUGUUGAACUUCAUAUGGUGAAGUCACAAUGCCCAGAAGAACUGGUCCUGCGGACCCCAGAUGCACCCUAAGAGGAGCUGGGGCCCUUUUCUAAAAACACCCUGGUCUCUGCCACUUCCAAGAGAGGUGCAGCAUCUGCUUUUAGCACCAGAGCAUAUCAGCACCUGGUCUGGGCAGGUUAAAGGAAGGUAGCAUAGCCAGAAUGUUGAUUCCAGAUGGCACAGAACAAGUAACUUUGCUAUUGAGAACUAAAGGUUUUAGAGGAGGCUAGAGCUUCAGCUCAAAGUGAAGAAUGCUUCUGGUUCUUAUGGCUGUGAAGGAAAUACUGAGAGGGGCUGAGAAGUGAACCAUGUGAAGACAAAGAUAAAAUUACUCCACUUUCAA